rnacentral:lncRNA from 1 species
CUGAAUCGGAGUUACGGGCGCGAAGAUACAGACAUUCGUUCAUUAGGUAGAACUCGAAUAAAAAGUAUUAUUUUUCUGCUACUAACGGGUGGACGUUCACUAUCCAACAAAUUCGGCCGGCGUUUAAAAAAUAGAAAGGAUAUUUCUACAAAUACGUUCCCGCAGCAGUGAAAGCGUAUUCUUAACAGAAGACAUGCUGAAGUAUGCUUUCAUUGCAUGAAAACCUAGUUUACAAGAAAUGCGCUUCCACUUAAUCCACGCGGGCGUCAGGCUUCGGUCGCUUACAGGUGGACCCGCGCUGACGAUCUCUC